ACCACAAUUUCCCAAUACAUUCAAUGUCACAAAUCUUCCCAAGGACACUGUCCCGUGCUCUGAGCCCCAAUCUCCCCUCAUGCCUCUCACCACAGAUCUUGCUAUAUAGCAGGAGACAUGCAAAUAGAGCCCUCCCUCUGCUGAUGAAAACCAGCCCAGCCCUGACCCUGCAGCUCUGGGAGAGGAGCCCAGCCCUGGGAUUUUCAGGUGUUUGCAUUUGGUAAUCACAACUGAACACUGAGACUGAACUCACCAUGGAGUUUGCGCUGAGCUGGGUUUUCCUUCUUGCUAUUUUGAAAGGUGUCCAGUGUGAGGUGCAGCUGGUGGAGUCUGGGGGAGGUUUGGUUCAGCCUGGGGGGUCUUUGAGACUCUCCUGUGCAGCCUCUGGAUUCACCUUCAGUAGUUAUGCCAUGGGCUGGGUCCGUCAGGCUCCGGGGAAGGGGCUGGAGUGGGUCUCAACUAUUGGUACUGCUGGUAGCACGUACUACGCAGACUCCGUGAAGGGCCGAUUCACCAUCUCCAGAGACAACGCCAAGAACUCGCUGUAUCUGCAGAUGAACAGCCUGAGAGCCGAGGACACGGCCGUGUAUUACUGUGCGAGAGACACAGUGAGGGGAAGUCAGUGUGAGCCGGAACACAAACCUCCUGCAGGAACGCUGGUAGGAAAUGAGCUGCAGGGGGCGCUCAGGAGCCACUGA